UACGGGGGGGGCAAGCGUUGUUCGGAAUUACUGGGCGUAAAGGGCUCGUAGGCGGCCAACUAAGUCAGACGUGAAAUCCCUCGGCUUAACCGGGGAACUGCGUCUGAUACUGGAUGGCUUGAGUUUGGGAGAGGGAUGCGGAAUUCCAGGUGUAGCGGUGAAAUGCGUAGAUAUCUGGAGGAACACCGGUGGCGAAGGCGGCGUCCUGGACCAACACUGACGCUGAGUGAGCGAAAGCCAGGGGAGCAAACGGG
rnacentral:rRNA from 1 species